UCCGGUUUGUCACCGGCAGUCCCUCUAGAGUGCUCAGCAUUACCUGUUAGCAACUAAAAGUAAGGGUUGCGCUCGUUGCGGGACUUAACCCAACAUCUCACGACACGAGCUGACGACAACCAUGCACCACCUGUCUCCUUGUCCUAAGCAAGCCUAGGAGGGCUCUAUCUCUAGAGUUUUCAAGGGAUGUCAAGACCUGGUAAGGUUCUUCGCGUUGCGUCGAAUUAAACCACAUGCUCCACCGCUUGUGCGGGCCCCCGUCAAUUCCUUUGAGUUUCAACCUUGCGGCCGUACUCCCCAGGCGGGGUACUUAAUGUGUUAACUACGGCACAGAAGGGGUCGAUACCUCCUACACCUAGUACCCAUCGUUUACGGCGUGGACUAC
rnacentral:misc_RNA from 1 species